GAGAAAUGUUUAGAUUUCUGUGAUUAUUUUUUACGCGGAGUUGUUGAAUAUCAACAACUUAUUACACAGAAUCCAAUUUUUUUAGAGCGAGUUGAAGGAGUAGGUUUUAUUAGCGGAGAAGAAGCAGUAAAUUGGGGCUUAUCGGGACCGAUGUUACGAGCUUCUGGAAUACAAUGGGAUCUUCGUAAAGUAGAUCCUUAUGAGUCUUACAACCAAUUUGAUUGGAAAGUCCAAUGGAAAAAAGAAGGGGAUUCGUUAGCUCGCUAUUUAGUACGAGUUGGUGAAAUGAGGGAAUCCAUCAAAAUAAUUCAACAAGCUGUAGAAAAAAUUCCUGGAGGACCUUAUGAGAAUUUAGAAGUCCGACGCUUUAAGAAAGAAAAGAAUUCUGAAUGGAAUGAUUUUGAGUAUAAAUUUCUUGGUAAAAAACCUUCGCCCAAUUUUGAAUUGUCAAGACAAGAGCUUUAUGUAAGAGUAGAAGCCCCAAAAGGUGAAUUAGGGAUUUAUCUAGUAGGAGAUGAUAGCCUUUUCCCCUGGAGAUGGAAAAUCCGUCCACCCGGGUUUAUUAAUUUGCAAAUUCUUCCUCAGCUAGUUAAAAAAAUGAAAUUGGCUGAUAUCAUGACGAUAUUAGGUAUAUAG
rnacentral:rRNA from 1 species